rnacentral:rRNA from 1 species
CCUCCUAUAAUGCAAGUCGAGCGGACAGAAGGGAGCUUGCUCCCGGAUGUUAGCGGCGGACGGGUGAGUAACACGUGGGUAACCUGCCUGUAAGACUGGGAUAACUCCGGGAAACCGGAGCUAAUACCGGAUAGUUCCUUGAACCGCAUGGUUCAAGGAUGAAAGACGGUUUCGGCUGUCACUUACAGAUGGACCCGCGGCGCAUUAGCUAGUUGGUGGGGUAAUGGCUCACCAAGGCGACGAUGCGUAGCCGACCUGAGAGGGUGAUCGGCCACACUGGGACUGAGACACGGCCCAGACUCCUACGGGAGGCAGCAGUAGGGAAUCUUCCGCAAUGGACGAAAGUCUGACGGAGCAACGCCGCGUGAGUGAUGAAGGUUUUCGGAUCGUAAAGCUCUGUUGUUAGGGAAGAACAAGUGCGAGAGUAACUGCUCGCACCUUGACGGUACCUAACCAGAAAGCCACGGCUAACUACGUGCCAGCAGCCGCGGUAAUACGUAGGUGGCAAGCGUUGUCCGGAAUUAUUGGGCGUAAAGGGCUCGCAGGCGGUUUCUUAAGUCUGAUGUGAAAGCCCCCGGCUCAACCGGGGAGGGUCAUUGGAAACUGGGAAACUUGAGUGCAGAAGAGGAGAGUGGAAUUCCACGUGUAGCGGUGAAAUGCGUAGAGAUGUGGAGGAACACCAGUGGCGAAGGCGACUCUCUGGUCUGUAACUGACGCUGAGGAGCGAAAGCGUGGGGAGCGAACAGGAUUAGAUACCCUGGUAGUCCACGCCGUAAACGAUGAGUGCUAAGUGUUAAGGGGGUUUCCGCCCCUUAGUGCUGCAGCUAACGCAUUAAGCACUCCGCCUGGGGAGUACGGUCGCAAGACUGAAAC